GACGAACGCUGGCGGCGUGCUUAACACAUGCAAGUCGAGCGGUAAGGCCCUUUCGGGGGUACACGAGCGGCGAACGGGUGAGUAACACGUGGGUGACCUGCCCUCAGCUCUGGGAUAAGCCCGGGAAACUGGGUCUAAUACCGGAUAUGACUCCAUGACGCAUGUUGUGGGGUGGAAAGCCUUGUGCGGCUGAGGAUGGGCCCGCGGCCUAUCAGCUUGUUGGUGGGUGAUGGCCACCAAGGCGACGACGGGUAGCCGGCCUGAGAGGGCGACCGGCCACACUGGGACUGAGAUACGGCCCAGACUCCUACGGGAGGCAGCAGUGGGGAAUCUUGCGCAAUGGGCGAAAGCCUGACGCAGCGACGCCGCGUGAGGGAUGACGGCCUGUGUAC
rnacentral:rRNA from 1 species